ensembl:snRNA
GUGUUUUAUGAAAGGAGAGCUGGUCAGCAUUCCUCUUGGUAAGGAUGGAAGAGGCCCUUGGGCCUGAAAACAGGCUAAGGCUAAGGCCUUGUCAUCUACUUCUUGGCCUCUAACCUGGCAUCUAACCAUGGUUUUCA